rnacentral:misc_RNA from 1 species
AGCAGCCGCGGUAAUUCCAGCUCCAAUAGCGUAUAUUAAAGUUGUUGCAGUUAAAAAGCUCGUAGUUGAAUUUCGGGAUUGACGUGAUGGUUGUGCCUUACGGGGUAUGAACUGUUGCUGUUGAUUUCUCACCUUCUGGAGAAACUUGAUGUCCUUAAUUGGGUGUCUUGCGGAUCCAGGACCUUUACCUUGAAAAAAUUAGAGUGUUUAAAGCAGGCAUUUUGCUCGAAUACAUUAGCAUGGAAUAAUAGAAUAGGACGGCAUGGUUCUAUUUUGUUGGUUUCUAGGAUCACCGUAAUGAUUAAUAGGGAUAGUUGGGGGGCAUUAGUAUUCAAUUGUCAGAGGUGAAAUUCUUGGAUUUAUUGAAGACUAACUACUGCGAAAGCAUUUGCCAAGGAUGUUUUCAUUAAUCAAGAACGAAAGUUAGGGGAUCGAAGACGAUCAGAUACCGUCGUAGUCUUAACCAUAAACUAUGCCGACUAGGAAUCAGACGAUGUUAAUUUUUUAAUGACUCGUUUGG